AUGAAUUUGAGAGAGAUUGAGAAGGAAAAUCAGAGAGAAGGGUUUUACUUGAGUUUGUUACAGGAAGCUGUUGCUAAAGAAGAAUUCGAAGAUGAGAGGCUAAACAGAUCAGUGGAAGAAUUAGGGUUUUAGGUUGAAUUCAGGAAGAAGAACCAAAGUCUGAUGUACUGAAUCUUGAGGAUUUGGUGAAGAUAAAUGGAGAUUUAGGGAUGGUCAUGGAAGUUAGGGUUUCGUGAAUCUGAAGAAAUGUUAUGGGUCUGUUUGAAUUGAGUUUCACCUGGUGCUGAUGAAGUUGGUAAUGGGUUUGAAUCAGUUGAACGAGAAGAUUGCAGUUAGGCAAGAAAUAAUUCUUCAAAUGCAGUUGGAGAUAAAUACAAAUGGGUUUUGUGGUGUUCUAAAAUUGAGUCUAGUGCUGUCAGGAAGAUGGGAUUGUUUGCUAAUUGUUGUUGGCUGCAAGCUGUGAUUGAGCUACUGAGUUUGCGCAGUUCAAGUUGUGUUGGUGGUUAUUGCAAUAGCUACAGAUGCAGGACAAGGAAGAAUUUGAAGCAGAUUACAAUUGCAGAGGUGGAAUUGCUGCCAGGGAUGUGUAAUUAAGCUGAAUAGUGCAGCAACUGGUUCAAUGAUGUGUUGCAGGGUUGAUUCAGGUGCAAGUGAAACCGCAGUUGGAAAUGGAAUGGUUUGGUUGCAGCUGCAGUUCAGUGAGGUGCUCAUGGGAGUGAAGAGAAGCUGAAAAUUGUAUGACUGCAGGUGAUGACGGGUUGAGCCACAACUGAUGCUGCCAACUGUUGGCAGUGAAGAAUUUGAGGAGAUGAGGUUGAGCAGUACAAAUAGAAUUGGAGGAUAAGAACUUCUGCUGUAAUAGACUAGCUAGUGCUGUUGUAGAUGGGAAGAUGGUGAUUCAGGUGGUAUGACUGAGAUGGAGAAUGGGAAACGAAGUGCAGAAUGGUUUGUGGAGCAGCUGCAAAUGCUAAUGAUUCCAGAUGGUGAUUGUGCCUGGAUAUGUUGUGCUUGAAUGAGAUUGCAGGUGUUGGAAGGAAUGGCGAGAAGUGUUGGUGAACUGCGGAGAGAUUGAGGAGAGUUGCAGCUGUUGCAGGGAGCUUAAGUCUGCUGUGACAGUGCGGUCGAGACGAGAAGCUGAAAUUGGUCCGUGUAUGAAUUGCAGAGGAUAGAUGGCUCAGGUGGUGGCGCUGAAGGCUAAGCAGAAGUGGAAGAUUCUGUUGCUGUCAUGCUAUGUAGCUGCUAUUGAAGCAACAGGGGAGCUGAGAAAAUUGAAAGCAUGGAGUCGGUGGUGAUGUGUGAAGGCUUAGAAGAGAAGUUGGUUGCAGCUGAGUUGCAGUCAUGUAACAUAUGAGAGGAAGCCGUGUUUGCUGCCGCAGAUAUUGGCAUUACAGGAUCAGCUGGAAGAAUGAAUGAGUUAUGAGCAGGUCUGAAUUGCAUUGGUGUUAACCUGAGAAAGGGGUAUGAGAUCUGGUGCAAGUGAAGAUGAAUUUUGUUAAGUGGCCGCUGUAGCUCAAGAAGAAAUGUUUGUCAAGGGUUGGUUGGUAUGUGAUGCAGUGGGGUUGAUAUGAACUCAAAUUACAGAUAGGUGCAGCCGCAGAUGAUACAAGGCAAUGAAUCUGCAGAUGUCAGAGAAGGCAUGAACUGGAAGCUACAGCUACAAACUGGUUGAGAUGGGACAUGGUACUGGAGCUACAUGAAGUUGCGUUUUUGUGAUGGCAAUUGAAUGAAGACUUGAGACUGAAAUAGCGUGACAUGAACUAAAAUGCAGAGUUGGUGGUUAGGUUGCGGCAAUUGUGACGAUUUAGGAUGGAGACUGACAUGGGUUUUGCAGUCAGUUAGAUGGAAGUAGAGUUGGCGGAUGAACUGGUGUUGCUGUUGGAAGACAGAUAAGAAUGGGUUUGGUGUGGUGCUGUAAGUUACAGGGAUUCGAAGCUGCAGAAUAAAGUUAAAGCAGGAUGUUGCCAUGGGUUGUAAUGAUUUUGAUUCAAUCUGAGGUGGUGCGGUGACUGGUACACGAUGUGUGAGUAAUCAACGGAACUGGUGGUGAUAUGCAUAGAAGCAAUGAUACAGUUGAGGCAUUGCAGGCUGUCUGGUGGGUGUUUAGAGUGGCAGGAAAUACUCAGCGGAGAAAGUGACAGCAACGAGGCUGAAGUACUGGAGUAUGUAUGAGUUACAGGGAAGUGUGGCUGAAUUAUGACAAGUAUAUGAAGGUCUGCAAGCUAACUAGUGCUUGUAAAGAUGCAAAAGGUCAUGGAAAUGUGAGGUUUUAACUGAUGCAGAAGUGAAGUGUAUACUGCUGUGUCUGAUUUGGAUGAAUGAAUGUAUGGCGUUGAAAUUUACAGGGAAGUUACAGAGUGCAUGAACAAGACUGCAGAAACAGUGCGGAAACGCAGUAAGAAUUGUGAGCUGGUGGUACCAGUUUUGGUUAUCAUAUUUCUGAAUCGAAAGUGGGGAUCAUAAUAUUUCAGUGAAUCGCGAAGGCGGUAUGUGUUGGAUGCAUGAUUCGGCCGCGGCAUAUAUGAGUUUGGAGCUACGCUUUUGGGUACGUUUUCGCAAGAACAGGUGGCCAGAGAAAAUUUUCCGGUGACCGGAUCCCGACAACAGUGACCGGAUUCCGGUGAUGACGUCAGCAAUCCGACGACCCAGUUUUGGACCCAGGAUUUCCAGAAGAGAUGUUUUAACUCAUGGGCUUCGUGGACCACUUGAAGAUGGACUUUGAGAAGUAUCUUUUUGAGAGAAGAGCUAUAAAAAGAAAAACUCUAGUCUAUACAUUAUCUCUUCUUCUAAUUUCGUUUUCUAGGUUUAGAGACAUGAAACUUCUUUUCCUUCUUGUUAUGAACUCCUAUGCUAUGAGUACCUAGUUUUAUUAAUGGUUUGAGGAAUAAGUUGGAUUU